AUGGGUUUAUUCCAUGCAUACUUCCCCCUCACCUCUCACAGGCUUCUUCUUCCCUUUCAUGAGUUAGGGAAAACACUCCAGGGAACCUGGCUGGCUCUGCUUUUAUGUCUGGUUCCUUACACAACGUGCUCCUGCAAGCUGCUGUGCUAUGGGCUGUAACCCAGAGGGCAACUGUUGUGUGUGUUGUGGCCUGGUUCAUUAUCCUGCUGUAAUCCAUGCUGAGCUGUGCUUGGCAGAGGAAGGAAAGCUGAGAAGAAGUGCACGUGGCUUCCUUAAUCAGGUAAAAGAGGCAGGGUGCCCAAGACGAGUUCUUUAUAGUAAGAGGUCUUAUUUUUAUACUUCCACUUUCAGCUUCCUGUGAUCAUACUGUUUUAAUGUUAAGGCUUCUUUAUAUGCUUUCAUUCAGAAGGAGAUUCAUUCCUUUCAGGUUCAGAGGCUUUCAGGUAUGUCACGAAAGAUGAAAAUAAAUGAAAAUUUGUAAAUUUGUCGAUCAAGCUCUGACCUUUUUCAUUCCAUCCAAAAGCCGUUGUGGCUGUAUCCUACAUAUUUAAACAAUAGAGGUCUUGGACAAGAAUGUGGAUAGCAGCCAGGCAGAAGCGUUAAGUUCUCCUGACUCUUAGGACCAUCUCCAACAGACUGAAAUAAUGGGAAGGAAACAGACAUGUUAUCUUGGCUAUAUUACUAAAAGUGAGCCUAAUCCAGGGAAUGUGAAUUUUCUAGAAAUGCUGGCAUGGAGCCCUAUAUCAGUGUCCUUUCAGAGGUGAAUAAAAGAUGCCUAUGUUCUGCCAAUGCUGUGCCCUAAAAGGGCUUCACUUGCUGCAGGUUCAAAAAAGGAACUAAAGCAGAUGCUUCCUACUGAUAAACACGAAAGGAAUGAAUGGUGCUCUGCUUAAGUUCUCACAGAGGCCUUGUACCUUUGAGCCCAGAAGGAGGUGGUGACUGCCUGGAACUUUGGCAAAGAAACAUUUCUAUAACUUUUAAGCCUUGAGAUCAUUGAUUAUAUAUCUACACUGCUGCCUAGUUGUGCUUCUAUAUAACUAGAUGCAGAAUGCUUCCAUCUCCUCCUCCUGUGAUAUUUAGCUUGUAAGACGGGAAGGAAAUAAACAUAAUUCUGAUUCCUUUUGAAUUUCAUAGUGAUUGUUAAAGAACAACACAAAGUGAAUUAGCUAGUAAGUUCAGAGUUGUUUUGUUUUUAAGAAAAAACAGCUGUUGUGCACAGCAGGAGAACGUGUAUAUUGUGUUUUCAAGAGCUAACUGUAUCUGAGAGCCCAGCUUCUUCAAGUGAAGUAUUUAAGACAAAGAUAUUGGUCUGGAGAAGAAGAGGCUCGGGGGAAACCUUAUUGCUCCCUACAACUCCCUGAAAGGAGGCUGUGGUGAGGUGGGGGUCGGCCUCUUCUCAUAGUGAUAGGAUGAGAGGGAAUGGCCUCGGGUUGCACCAGGGCAGGUUCAGGUUGGAUAUUAGAAAAGAUUUAUUCUCUGUAAGAGUGGUCAGGUGCUGGAAUGGGCUGCCCAGGGAGGUGGUUGUGUCACCAUCCCUGGAGGUGGUGUGUAAUGUGGUACUAAGGGACAUGGUUUAACUAUUGGUAGUAUGGUUGGACUGGACGGUCUUGGUGGUCUUUUCCAACCUCGGUGAGUCUGUCAUUCUAUUCUAUGAUUCUUGGAUUUAAAAUCAAAGCAAGAAAUUAUUUACUUUUAACAUUCAAACUGAAUCAAGUUUCCAUUAAAGAUUCAGCUUUAUGAAAGAAUUAUGAAUUUCUCAGUGCAAAGAAAAUACAAAUCGUUCAUUUUCAGAACAGAUCACAAUUAUAGUCCUAAACAUGUGCUUUUUUCAGCUUCAUGCUGCAGCAAUGCCAGUUUCACCUGUAGAGUACCAGGCAUGUACCUUCCUAGCUGGGGCCUAACACCUCUUACAGCCAUGAGAACCCCACCUCCACUGCAGUGGCACUCUUCUUCAUAAUGCAUACUAUCUGUUAAUGACACAGUCUGUUCCAUAGCAGUUAAAGUCUGUUCAGAAUUACAGGGCAGGGCUCACAGAGUCUACACAUUCACAUAGAGACUCAAAAGCCAUGGAUGCAGCCAAGCUUUUUGAGAAUGAAUUGGAAGCUCUCCGCCCUCUUGUAUGCCAAACCAUCUUAAAGAACUGAAGCAGGGCUGCCUGCAGGAUUCUUAGUGACAUGUGGAAACAUAUCAGCUUGUGCUGCUUAAAGGAGAGGGUCUGAGGAGCUAGCCUCUGUGAGAGGGUAAGGGCUUAGGAAUAACAAUUCAAUACGUGAAGAUUCAACCAGCCGAGCAAGUUGAAUGAAGGCAAGAAUACACAGCUGCUUUCAUCAAAUGUGUCUGUGUCCUUUCCUCCUCAUGAUAUGGCCAAGAUUUAUGUAUAUGUCAUGGAGGGUAGCAUGCAGGAAGUGCUUUUCCCCCCCACUCUAGACCAUUCUUGUUUUUGCACACUACCAUAAAUGCUGCUUUUCCUAUACAUCCUUUCUAAUUUUUAGCAAAAUAUCAUUAGCAAUAAAAUUCAUAUUUAAGUGUGUCUUGUCUUUAUGUCUGAUUAUUCCAACAGUUCUCAUGUAGUUAGUUUGUGGAUGAGUGCAUGUUUUCUUUCCGUAGUCAGCUUACAGGAUAUCUCCAUUGCAAGGUGGUCAGAAAACAGUGCUGCGAUUCAUUCCAUGCCCCUCCAGUCUCUCCUGAAGGCCUGAGUUACAAAGGCCAGCAAAAUGGUAGCAAAAUGCAGCUGGAGAGCCGUGGCUGUCGGAGCUGAGCUCAGGCUGACGAACCUUUGUGCUCACCACUCAAUAAAGAUGAUGCAAUAUCUGCACAGCGACCAACUGAGAUGUGCGGAGCAUUGCAGAAGUGGGAGCCGUGCUGCCAUGUCUGUGGAAUUGAAAGGUUCCUUCAUUACGUUGUCAGCACCUAUUAGAAAUCAGACCUUGGAACAGCAGACUGACAUUAAUAUGCUGGUUUGGAGGCUUCUGGUUACCACAGGCUAUCUCAUCAGCUUUCAGAGUCUCCGAGGCAUUUCCAAAAGACUCCAGACUCACCAGGCAAAUAAAGCCUCCAAUGAUUCUGA